rnacentral:rRNA from 1 species
UCCAGACUCCUACGGGAGGCAGCAGUCGGGAAUAUUGCGCAAUGGAGGAAACUCUGACGCAGUGACGCCGCGUAUAGGAAGAAGGUCUUCGGAUUGUAAACUAUUGUCGUUAGGGAAGAGAAAGGACAGUACCUAAGGAGGAAGCUCCGGCUAACUACGUGCCAGCAGCCGCGGUAAUACGUAGGGGGCAAGCGUUAUCCGGAUUUACUGGGUGUAAAGGGAGCGUAGACGGCAGUGCAAGUCUGAAGUGAAAGCCCCGGGCUUAACCCGGGAAUUGCUUUGGAAACUGUACGGCUGGAGUGCUGGAGAGGUAAGCGGAAUUCCUAGUGUAGCGGUGAAAUGCGUAGAUAUUAGGAGGAACACCAGUGGCGAAGGCGGCUUACUGGACAGUAACUGACGUUGAGGCUCGAAAGCGUGGGGAGCAAACAGGAUUAGAUACCCGAGUAU